rnacentral:misc_RNA from 1 species
GGAUCCAAAGUUGAGGCCAACAUUUGCAGAGAUCAUGGCUGUUUUGAAGCCAUUACAGAAGCCGAUAACUGGUGCACAAGUGCCUAGACCAAGUUCAUCUAUGAGAGGUGGACAUGAGAAAGGUCAGCAACAGGCAGGCUAACAGAGCUAAUUAGUGAGUCAGAGUGGAACUUCAGCUCAAUGGAUUGCCAAAAAUAUCAAUAUGGAGGCAAAUUAUGAACUUUCUGGGACAAGAAUGCACAUUGAAAUACCAAAAAUAUAGAGGAAAUAUAUGGACUGUUUGGGAGAAGAACAUGAGAGAGAUGAUCGAUGAUCAUGGCCCAAAUACAUUCCAAUUGGAGAUGAUUAUGAUUCUUUUUUCAAUGUUUUCCCUUCUUUUUUAAAUGUUUUCCCUUUCUUGUUUUGUAUUCUUGUGCAGCCAUUCUCAAGGUGUAUUUGCUUGUAAAAUAAGAAAAUCCAUUGGAAAUUGUUGUAAUCAAUAUUUUGUGGUUAUUUUUUUUUCUUACAGUUUUACCAAGCAAUUUCAAACUGAGGGAGCAACUGGAAAAAAUUCUACUGUCCCAUCUUACCCAGUUAUUAUUAUGAUUUUUUU